GAUGAACGCUGGCGGCGUGCCUAAUACAUGCAAGUCGAGCGAACGGACGAGAAGCUUGCUUCUCUGAUGUUAGCGGCGGACGGGUGAGUAACACGUGGAUAACCUACCUAUAAGACUGGGAUAACUUCGGGAAACCGGAGCUAAUACCGGAUGAUAUUUUGAACCGCAUGGUUCAAAAGUGAAAGACGGUCUUGCUGUCACUUAUAGAUGGAUCCGCGCUGCAUUAGCUAGUUGGUAAGGUAACGGCUUACCAAGGCAACGAUGCAUAGCCGACCUGAGAGGGUGAUCGGCCACACUGGAACUGAGACACGGUCCAGACUCCUACGGGAGGCAGCAGUAGGGAAUCUUCCGCAAUGGGCAAAAGCCUGACGGAGCAACGCCGCGUGAGUGAUGAAGGUCUUCGGAUCGUAAAACUCUGUUAUUAGAGAAGAACAUAUGUGUAAGUAACUGUGCACAUCUUGACGGUACCUAAUCAGAAAGCCACGGCUAACUACGUG
rnacentral:rRNA from 1 species